rnacentral:rRNA from 1 species
GUUUGAUCCUGGCUCAGGAUGAACGCUGGCGGCGUGCCUAACACAUGCAAGUCGAACGAACCUUCGGGUUAGUGGCGGACGGGUGAGUAACGCGUGAGAAUCUGCCCUCAGGAGGGGGAUAACGGCUGGAAACGGCCGCUAAUACCCCAUAUGCCGAGAGGUGAAAUGAAUUUCGCCUGAGGAUGAGCUCGCGUCUGAUUAGCUAGUUGGUGGGGUAAGAGCCUACCAAGGCAUCGAUCAGUAGCUGGUCUGAGAGGAUGAUCAGCCACACUGGGACUGAGACACGGCCCAGACUCCUACGGGAGGCAGCAGUGGGGAAUUUUCCGCAAUGGGCGAAAGCCUGACGGAGCAACGCCGCGUGAGGGAUGAAGGCCUCUGGGCUGUAAACCUCUUUUAUCAAGGAAGAAGAUCUGACGGUACUUGAUGAAUAAGCCACGGCUAAUUCCGUGCCAGCAGCCGCGGUAAUACGGGAGUGGCAAGCGUUAUCCGGAAUUAUUGGGCGUAAAGCGUCCGCAGGCGGCCUGAUAAGUCUGUUGUCAAAGCGUGGAGCUUAACUCCAUUUCGGCAAUGGAAACUGUGAGGCUUGAGUGUGGUAGGGGCAGAGGGAAUUCCCGGUGUAGCGGUGAAAUGCGUAGAUAUCGGGAAGAACACCAGUGGCGAAGGCGCUCUGCUGGGCCAUAACUGACGCUCAUGGACGAAAGCCAGGGGAGCGAAAGGGAUUAGAUACCCCUGUAGUCCUGGCCGUAAACGAUGAACACUAGGUGUCGGGGGAAUCGACCCCCUCGGUGUCGUAGCCAACGCGUUAAGUGUUCCGCCUGGGGAGUACGCACGCAAGUGUGAAACUCAAAGGAAUUGACGGGGGCCCGCACAAGCGGUGGAGUAUGUGGUUUAAUUCGAUGCAACGCGAAGAACCUUACCAGGGUUUGACAUCCUGCGAAUCCCUUGGAAACUUGGGAGUGCCUUCGGGAGCGCAGAGACAGGUGGUGCAUGGCUGUCGUCAGCUCGUAUCGUGAGAUGUUGGGUUAAGUCCCGCAACGAGCGCAACCCACGUCUUUAGUUGCCAGCAUUGAGUUGGGCACUCUAGAGAGACCGCCGGUGAUAAACCGGAGGAAGGUGUGGAUGACGUCAAGUCAUCAUGCCCCUUACAUCCUGGGCUACACACGUACUACAAUGCUACGGACAAAGGGCAGCAAACUCGCGAGAGCUAGCAAAUCCCAUAAACCGUGGCUCAGUUCAGAUCGUAGGCUGCAACUCGCCUACGUGAAGGAGGAAUCGCUAGUAAUCGCAGGUCAGCAUACUGCGGUGAAUACGUUCCCGGGCCUUGUACG